AGAUGAUUUCAUAAAGAGGGCUCUUGGGUUUCAGCAUCAUAAAUAACUCAUGGUAAUCCCAUAUUUCUCUGACUUCUCUCAUUUGAGGUUGAGCUGGAAAGAGGGCAGUUGUGACAAACAUUGUUAGCACGACUGCCAAACCAUCCAGACCUGGCUAUAUAUGUCUUGGCUCCCCUGGACCUAUGAGGUUUCCACCGAAGGCCAAGAUUGCUCUCAGUAAAGAGCUGACCUAGUUGCUUGACACCAGUGCAUUGCUGAUGGACAGCAACACCUCUAGGUGUGUCUGUGAUGUCAAAAAGCUGACUGAGAUCAUGCUGGAGCCAAAAGAAAGAAAGAAAGAAAGAAAAGGAGUGGAGGAGAGUGAUCUGAUGCGCAGAGAUAAAGUCAGCAGGGGACAGAGUUUUAAUGAAGCCUGCCUCUCAAUGGAGUAAAGGCUAGAUGUUCUCUUCAGUGGGGCUGUAAAGUGAUCCAGGUCUGAUAUUUCCCGGCCCUGUGACAGAAUUAUUAAAAGCUCAUCCUCUUAAUGCAGCAUCCACAGUGUCAUCUUUCACAGGUCCGAGACACUCGCACAACAGGACUGCCCUUUUUUUUCCACAUGUAAAAUGGCACUGAAUAAACAAGCACCCAAUUCAGCAUUACCGGCAGAGACUAGUGAUUGUAAACCGAAGCCUCUCACUGCAACUAGGAACACGACUUGCGCCCAG
ensembl:lncRNA